GAUCAUGGCUCAGAUGAACGCUGGCGGCAUGCCUUACACAUGCAAGUCGAACGGCAGCACGGGGGCAACCCUGGUGGCGAGUGGCGAACGGGUGAGUACNGCAUCGGAAUGUACCCAGUAGUGGGGGAUAACUAGUCGAAAGACUAGCUAAUACCGCAUACGCACUGAGGUGGAAAGCGGGGGAUCGCAAGACCUCGCGCUAUUGGAGCAGCCGAUGUCCGAUUAGGUAGUUGGUGGGGUAAAAGGCCUACCAAGCCUGCGAUCGGUAACUGGUCUGAGAGGACGACCAGUCACACUGGGACUGAGACACGGCCCAGACUCCUACGGGAGGCAGCAGUGGGGAAUUUUGGACAAUGGGGGCAACCCUGAUCCAGCAAUGCCGCGUGUGUGAAGAAGGCCUUCGGGUUGUAAAGCACUUUUGGCGGGAACGAAACGGCGGGGGCUAAUACCUCCUGCUAAUGACGGUACCCGCAGAAUAAGCACCGGCUAACUACGUG
rnacentral:rRNA from 1 species